GACGAACGCUGGCGGCGUGCUUAACACAUGCAAGUCGAACGGGCCUUGUCCCCUUUUUUUUUGGGGGUGGGGUUAGUGGCGAACGGGUGAGUAACACGUGAGUAACCUGCCCCUCACUUCUGGAUAACCGCUUGAAAGGGUGGCUAAUACGGGGUGUUCUGGCCUGCUCGCAUGUGUGGGUUUGGAAAGAUUCGACCGGUUUGGUUGUUUUUGUGGGGGUUGGGCUGGCGGCAUUUCAGAUUGUUGGUGGGGGGAUGGCCUGCCAAGGAGUUGUCGGGUAGCAGGCAUGAGAGGGUGGGCGGACACACUGGGAGUGAGACACGGCCCAGACUCAUAGGGGGGGCAGCAGUGGGGAAUAUUGCAGAAGGGGCGAAAGCAUGAUGCAGAGACGCCGCGUGAGGGAUGGAGGCCUUCGGGUUGAGAACCUCUUUCGCCAGUGAAGAAGGUCCUGCUCUUUGUGGUGGGGUUGACGGUAGCUGGGUUAAUGAAGCGCCGGCUAACUACGUG
rnacentral:rRNA from 1 species